AUCCAACUGACGAGUCUCAAAUAGGACGAAACGCGCGUCCUGGAU
rfam:Schistosoma rodhaini strain Burundi genome assembly, scaffold: SROB_scaffold0001358